rnacentral:lncRNA from 7 species
AAACGACCACCGCGCGAUCGCGGGCGGACUCCGCGCUCGGGCGCGUGGGAUUCGGUGUUUUCGCUGCUCCCUGAGCUAUAAAAGACGACCGUCGUGACCCCUCCCUCAUCUCAUCCAAUUGUACCCACAUCCGAGCACAAACACCGUAGCCGCCGUGGGCUCGUAAGGCCGUAGUGACCCGCCGCCGUCGAAACUAGGUGUCGCGCGCGUUCAGGCGUCCGCAGGGCAUUCUGGUGCUGCGCCGCGGUCCCGGAGUGCUUCGACAACCAUCAAUUUCACGACUGAAGUCUCGCCGCCUUGGCAAUUGCUCGCCGGGAACUCAACUUUGCCGCGGGGCCGCCAUUUGCCGUGGACGGGGCAUUCUACAACCGCAUCGUCGGUAAGAUGUUCUCCUCGGUGCUCGCCAUGUCCUCCUCUACGCGGAGCUCGGUUUAAUCGACAUUUCGGGCACUGUGGUGGUCGGUGGCCUCUGCGCCGACGGUGUGGUUACGCCUCCGUGGAACUCGCCGCGCCACCGCCGGCCCAGCUCGGGUUGUGGAAGAAGCUACGCGGGCCGUUGAUCUCGGCGGCAGCGGUCAGGAUUGGGACCACGUAUGAGGUUCGCGUUAGGUUGAUCUGGGGCGCUGAUCAUGGAUCGGAUGGCGGUGGGUGGACCAAGGUUCAUUAAACCUGAGUCGUCAGAUCGUGAUCCGAGAGCCAGUAACGCAUACCGGUUCAUGCGUUGGAUCUUUUAAUCUGGGCCGUCCAGAUCCGAUCCGUCGGCCGGUAUGUGGUGAUACCCUUUCGGCCUUGGGUUUUACAGAAGAACCCCUCACCUUUUAGCGAAUUAACCCGCCAUCCAGUGCACAGUUCCCUGAGUCAUAGGUUUUAUUGCGCCUUAGCCCCUGGGUUUCUCUAGAUUUGAGGCCCAGUCCAGUGCAGUAUUAAAAUGAUUAAAUGAAUUAGAAAUUAGAUUUUUAAUACAAAAA